CUCGUCGAGGGGCGCUGCGACCGGUAGGGCGGACUGAUCCGCUCACUGCACCACAGGUGCAGGUACACGGCCAGGCUCGACCAGCAGUUACCGUUCAACGGCGCCCGGCAUUG
rnacentral:ncRNA from 1 species